rnacentral:tRNA from 6 species
UGGGGAUUCGUCUAAUGGUAGGACAUCUGAUUCUGGUUCAGGUAGUGCGGGUUCGACUCCUGCAUCCCCAGCCA